CACGUGAGGGGCAAGCGUUGUCCGGAUUUAUUGGGCGUAAAGAGCUCGUAGGUGGCUGAGUAAGUCGGUUGAUUAAACUCCCCAGGCUCAACCUGGGUCACCAUCCGAUAACGUGCUCUGGCUAGAGUCCGGUAGGGGAGGCGUGGAAAUUCCUGGUGUAGCGGUGAAAUGCGCAGAUAUCAGGAGGAACACCAGCGGCGAAGGCGGCGCUCUGGGCCGGAUGACUGACACUGAGGAGCGAAAGCGUGGGUAGCAAACAGG
rnacentral:rRNA from 1 species